UAACAAUGAUUUCCCUAGUAACGGCCAGUGAAGAGGAAAGAGCUCAAAGUUGGAACCUAUUUGGCUUAGCUAAAUCGGAUUGUAAACUGUAGAAGUGUUUUCCAGACACGCCUGGUAAAAAAGUCCUUUGGAACAGGGCAUCAUAGAGGGUGAGAAUCCCGUCAUUGGCCAGAGCUGUUGUCUUUUGUGAUACAUUUUCAAAGAGUCAGGUUGUUUGGGAAUGCAGCCUAAAUUGGGUGGUAAAUCUCACCUAAAGCUAAAUAUUUGCGAGAGACCGAUAGCGAACAAGUACCGUGAGGGAAAGAUGAAAAGAACUUUGAAAAGAGAGUUAAACAGUAUGUGAAAUUGUUAAAAGGGAACCGUUUGGAGCCAGACUGGCUUAAUCGUAAUCAAUCUAGGCUUUGGCCUGGAUGCACUUGCGGUUUAUGCCGGCCAACGACAGUUUUGUUUGGGAGAAAAAAUUACAUUGAAUGUGGCCCCUCGGGGUGUUAUAGCUUUGUAAAAAAUAUCCUGGACUGGACUGAGGAACGCAGUGAAUGCCUUUAGGCAAGAUUGCUGGGUGCUUUCACUAAUAAAUGCUAGAAUUUCUGCUUCGGGUGGUGCUAGUGUUUAAAGGAGGAACUCGCCUGGUAUAUUUUUUAUUCGCUUAGGUUGGUGGCUUAAUGACUCUAAAUGACCCGUCUUGAAACACGGACCAA
rnacentral:rRNA from 1 species